GGGCCUAUAGCUCAGGUGGUUAGAGCGCACGCCUGAUAAGCGUGAGGUCGAUAGUUCGAGUCUAUCUAGGCCCACCA
rnacentral:tRNA from 2 species